CGCUGCUUCAAAGCCAAAGUGGUGUUUUGAUGUGAAGUGGAAAUUUAGUUGUCGGAGAAGGCAGAUAAUUAGGAAGGUGGAUCCGAUGAUUACGUGGAGACCAUGGAAGCCUGUUGCUAUAAAGAAGGUGGAUCCGUAAAUGCCGUCUGAAAUGGAAAAUGAGGUAACA